rnacentral:rRNA from 1 species
CCUACGGGAGGCAGCAGUGGGGAAUAUUGGACAAUGGGGGGAACCCUGAUCCAGCCAUGCCGCGUGUGUGAAGAAGGCCCUCGGGUUGUAAAGCACUUUCAGUGAGGAAGAACGCCUGGUGGUUAAUACCCAUCAGGAAAGCCAUCACUCACAGAAGAAGCACCGGCUAACUCCGUGCCAGCAGCCGCGGUAAUACGGAGGGUGCGAGCGUUAAUCGGAAUUACUGGGCGUAAAGCGCGCGUAGGUGGCUUGAUAAGCCGGUUGUGAAAGCCCCGGGCUCAACCUGGGAACGGCAUCCGGAACUGUCAAGCUAGAGUGCAGGAGAGGAAGGUAGAAUUCCCGGUGUAGCGGUGAAAUGCGUAGAGAUCGGGAGGAAUACCAGUGGCGAAGGCGGCCUUCUGGACUGACACUGACACUGAGGUGCGAAAGCGUGGGUAGCAAACAGGAUUAGAUACCCGUGUAGUC